rnacentral:rRNA from 1 species
CGUUCGAGACCAGGACGUUGAUAGGCUGGGUGUGGAAGCGCAGUAAUGCGUUAAGCUAACCAGUACUAAUUGCUCGUGAGGCUUGACCCUAUAACUUUG